rnacentral:rRNA from 1 species
AGUGGAUGGGGAGCAACCUAGUUGUGCGUGUGUAAAGGUAGUGCCAAGAAAAGCGGUGAUCAUGAUGAAAAUCAAUUCCCGGUACCCGAAACCGACACAGGUGGGCAAGUAGAGAAUACUGAGGGGCGCGAGGUAACUCUCUCCAAGGAACUCGGCAAAAUGACCCCGUAACUUAGGGAGAAGGGGUGCCACCGAGAGGUGGUCGCAGUGAAGAGGCCCAGGCGACUGUUUAGCAAAAACAUAGGUCUCUGCAAACUCGAAAGAGGAGGUAUAGGGGCUGACGCCUGCCCAGUGCCGGAAGGUUAAAGAAGUUGGUCAGUCUUAGGAUAAAGCUAGCGACUGAAGCCCCGGUGAACGGCGGCCGUAACUAUAACGGUCCUAAGGUAGCGAAAUUCCUUGUCGGGUAAGUUCCGACCCGCACGAAAGGCGUAACGAUCUGGGCGCUGUCUCGGAGAGAGGCUCGGCGAAAUAGGAUUGUCUGUGAAGAUACGGACUACCUGCAUUUGGACAGAAAGACCCUAUGAAGCUUUACUAUAGCUUGGAAUUGUGUUCGGGCUUCCUGUGCGCAGGAUAGGUGGGAGGCGAAGAAGGUAUUCUUGUGGGGAUACUGGAGCCAACGGUGAGAUACCACUCUCAGGAGGCUAGAAUUCUAACUUAAUUAAGGACAGUUUCAGGUGGGUAGUUUGACUGGGGCGGUCGCCUCCAAAAAGGUAACGGAGGCGUACAAAGGUUCCCUCAGACUGGUUGGAAAUCAGUCGCAGAGUGCAAAGGCAGAAGGGAGCUUGACUGCGAGAAGUACAGUUCGAGCAGGGUGGAAACACGGUCUUAGUGAUCCGACGGUGCUGUGUGGAAGGGCCGUCGCUCAACGGAUAAAAGUUACUCUAGGAUAACAGGCUGAUCUCCCCCAAGAGUUCACAUCGACGGGGAGGUUUGGCACCUCGAUGUCGGCUCAUCGCAACCUGGGGCGGAAGUACGUCCCAAGGGUUGGGCUGUUCGCCCAUUAAAGCGGUACGUGAGCUGGGUUCAGAACGUCGUGAGACAGUUCGGUCCAUAUCCGAUGUAGGCGUGAGAAUAUUGAGAGGAGCCUUCCUUAGUACGAGAGGACCGGGAAGGACGCACCGCUAGUGUACCUGUUAUGAUGCCAAUUGUAAACGCAGGGUUGCCAAGUGCGGAGAGGAUAACCGCUGAAAGCAUCUAAGUGGGAAGCCCACCUCAAGAUGAGUAUUCUGGUGUAAGGUCACGGGAAGACGACCCGUAAAUAGGCACGAGGUGGAAGUGCAGAGAUGUAUGAAGCCGAAGUGUACUAAUAGACCGUCGGCUUG